CGGUCCUUCAUGGGCUUGUGGCCAGGCAACUUGGCCUCCUCCUGUGUGAUGAAAGUCCUUUUGGGCAUCCUCUUCCAAAACAGCCCGGUCUCGUCGCAGUUGAAGACCUGCUGUGGAACGUAGCCCUCCGUCUUCACAACCUCCAGGAACUCCAAGGCAAAGUCUUCAGCCGCAGGAACAUCAGAACUGGCAGCCUCUCCAUGCCUGACCACGCUGUGGAUUCCAGAUCUUGCCUUGAACCGGUCAAACCAGCCUCUGCUUGCCUUGAAGACUUCUGGCUCGCCUGAGGUUCCUGGCUGUUCCCGGAUGAGGUCUGCGUGCAAGGCCUUGGCCUUCUCACAAAUCACGGCCUCAGUCACUGUGUCCCCUGCACGCUGCUUCUCUUCUAACCAGAUGAGCAGCAACUUCUCGACCUCCUCCAGAACAGCUGGGCGGUUCUUCACGAUCCUGGUGACUCCCUUGGCUGCAUCAGUCGCAAGGAUCUUCUCCCUCAUCUUCAGGAUGGUCCCGAUGGUCGAUGGGUUCCUGCCGUACUCCCUGGCGAGGUCCGUCACACGCAUUCCACCGUCGUGCUUCCAGAUGAUCUCCUUCUUCAUUUCCAGCGUCACCUUCUCCUUCUUCCUCUCGCCGGCCUCCGCAGCAGCAGCAGUCUUCUUGGGUCCCAUGGCAGCACAGCUCUUACCUUCGUAAACUCAGAAAAAGAAAAAAAAAUCAGCAAUUCAAACCCAGAACCAAGUCCUUGAAUUCCAAACACCCAACCCAAAAUCCAAAACCCCCC